rnacentral:rRNA from 1 species
GUCUACAGUCCUGUCACCCUGAACAAGCCCGAUCCCGUCUGAUCUUGGAAGCUAAGCAGGGUCGGGCCUCUUUAGUACUUGGAUGGGCGACCACCUAGGAAGACCAGGUGCUAUAGGCA